rnacentral:rRNA from 1 species
UAAAAGUCGUAACAAGGUUUCCGUAGGUGAACCUGCGGAAGGAUCAUUAUUGAAUUUAUGAUUUAAACAAUCUUAUAUUCUUGUGAACUUUAUAAACUUUGCUUGGGUGAUAGUAUUGGAGACUUUACUGUUGCCCAAAGUUUUUUACAAAAACACUUUAUUAAAAAAAACACCAAAACGAUUCUGAAAAUUUUUAAAAAAUUAAAUUAAAACUUUCAACAACGGAUCUCUUGGUUCUCGCAUCGAUGAAGAACGCAGCAAAAUGCGAUAAGUAAUGUGAAUUGCAGAAUUGUGAAUCAUCGAAUCUUUGAACGCACAUUGCGCCUUUUGGUAUUCCAAAAGGCAUGCCUGUUUGAGCGUGAUUACAUCUUCUUAAAUCAACUUUAUUGUUUGAAUUUUAAGGUAUUGGAAAUUUUGUACUAAUUUUUUAGUACAAUUUUCUGAAAUACAUUGGUGAUCUUGUGAAAUUCCAAUUUAUAAAAAAACGUAUUAGGUUUUAUCCACUCGUUUUUAAUUAUAUUAUUGACUUUUCGCAAAUUUAUAGAUCUGUCCAAAAUUUGUUUUAUCACUUUCCACCUCAAAUCAAGUAGGACUACCCGCUGAACUUAAGCAUAUCAAUA